rnacentral:rRNA from 1 species
UACGGAGGAUGCGAGCGUUAUCCGGAUUUAUUGGGUUUAAAGGGUGCGCAGGCGGGCUGUUAAGCCGGCGGUAAAAAUUCAGGGCUCAACCCUGUCGAGCCGUUGAAACUGGGGAUCUAGAGUGUGCGAGAGGUAUGCGGAAUGCGUGGUGUAGCGGUGAAAUGCAUAGAUAUCACGCAGAACCCCGAUUGCGAAGGCAGCAUACCGGUGCACAACUGACGCUCAGGCACGAAAGCGUGGGUAUCGAACAGG